ensembl:lncRNA
GUUGAAUCCCCUGUGGGCACGUAGAGAAGUUUUCAAGUUUGUGUAUUAGGUUUCGCUCUCCUCAGAAUGAAAAGAUCUCCCCCCACACGUUAGUCAGCUGACUUGUAGCCUCAUCUGCGAAUUCUAUGUCGUACUUGUAAAGUUCUAAAUCGUAUCUGUCUCAUUGAAGUUAGACUGGAACUAUUCCGCCGGUUACUCAACAGGUGACGUUGUAGGAAGCCUGUAAGAGCUUUACAGAAGUGUCGUAGCCUACUUUGGGGAGAACAGGACAUAAAAGACCUUGCCCAAGCGUAAGGUUAUCUGUUCUCCAAAAAGGAGCUUGACAAUCCAACCAAACACAGUCUGGAAAUGGAUAAGGAUAUUGAAUUCAAGACUGAAUGGUACUACCCGCUGGACAACAACGAAGGAAGUAGUGAGCUUGCUCCAAAAAAGAAAUCAGGCAUGAUGGGGAUGAUGCAGAAAGUCAACCCAUUCAAAUCCUCUUCUCAGAGCUCCACAGCUGGACCACGAGCAGAGGCCUCAGUGGGGACUGCAGGAGGACAAGGCCCAGGCACCAAACAG